AUUGAACGCUGGCGGCAGGCUUAACACAUGCAAGUCGAACGAGUGGCGGACGGGUGAGUAAUGCUUGGGAAUCUGGCUUAUGGAGGGGGAUAACUACUGGACACUGUAGCUAAUACCGCAUACCAUCGGAUGAGCCCAAGUGGGAUUAGCUAGUUGGUGGGGUAAUGGCUCACCAAGCCGACGAUCUCUAGCUGGUCUGAGAGGAUGACCAGCCACACGGGGACUGAGACACGGUCCAGACUCCUACGGGAGGCAGCAGUGGGGAAUAUUGCACAAUGGGCGCAAGCUGAUGCAGCCAUGCCGCGUGAAUGAAGAAGGCCUUCGGGUUGUAAAGUUCUUUCAGUAACGAGGCGUUAACCACAGAAGAAGCACCGGCUAACUCCGUGCCAGCAGCCGCGGUAAUUC
rnacentral:rRNA from 1 species